GUGCCUACAGAGCAGCUUCACAUCAGCACAUUUGUCAUUUUAUUACUGAAGCAGUUUUGAAGAGUUUCUCUUUUCAUAUUUGUGGACUGAAACUGCUGAAGAUGUUUUGGACUGUUUUGUUCUGUUUGUGUUUCUGGCAUCUGGAUGGUGUGUUUGGUGAUGAAGAGGAGUCAGUGAAGGAGGGAGAUUCACACACUCUUGUUAAAAUAUUAGU